rnacentral:lncRNA from 1 species
AGAAUAUUUGUGGAUAAUUGAGUAUUUUUCAGAGUUUUUCAUCAAUAUGUUGCAUUUUUAAAUAAUUUUCUUAAAACUACUAUUUUUGGAAAGUUUUUAUUUAUUAGAGAAAUGUUGUAGCUUUGGAGUUUGUGAUUUAGAAAUUAGGAUAACAAGAAUAUUUUUGUAUAGAUUAGUAUUCUUUCAGAAUUUUUCAUCAAUAUUUUGUAUUUUUAAAUAAUUUUCUUAACAACUUCUAUUUUUGGAAAGUUUUCAUUUAUUAGAGAAAUACCGUAGAUUUGGGUUUUGUGAUUUAGAAAUUAGGAUAACAAGAAUAUUUUUGGAUAGUUGAGUAUUCUUUCAUGGUUUUUUAUGACUAAGUUGUAGUUUUAAAUAAUUUUCUUAAAAAUAGCUAUUUUUGGAAAGUUUUCAUUUUUUUGAGAACUACUGUAGAUUUGAGUUUUUGAUUUAGAAAUUAUGAUACCAAGAUUAUUUGUGGAUAGUUGAGUUAUUUUUCAGAGUUUUUCAUCAAUAGAUUGUAUUUUUAAAUAAAUUUACGUUAAAGCUACUAUUUUUGGAAAGUUUUCAUUUAUUAGAGAAAUAAUGUAGAUUUGGGUUUUAUGAUUUAGAAAUUAGGAUAACAAGAAUAUUUGUGGAUAGAUGAGUAUUCUUUCAGAAAUUUUCAUCAAUAUGUUGUAUUUUUAAAUAAUUUUCUUAACAACUGCUAUUUUUGGAAAGUUUUCAUUUAUUAGAGAAAGAAUGUAGAUUUGAGUUUUGUGAUUUAGAAAUUAGGAUAACAAGAAUAUUUGUGGAUAGAUGAGUAUUCUUUCAGAAAUUUUCAUCAAUAUGUUGUAUUUUUAAAAUAAUUUUCUUAAAAACUGCUAUUUUUAGAAAGUUUUAAUUUAUUAGAGAAAUACUGUAGAUUAGGGGGUUUGUGAUUUAGAAAUUGGGAUAACAAAAAUAUUUUUGGAUAUAUGAGUAUUAUUUCUCAGUUUUUAAUCAAUAGGUUGUAUUUUUAAAUAAUUUUCUUUAAAACUGCUAUUUUUGUAAAGUUUUAAUUUUUUUGAGAAAUAUUGUAGAUUUUAGAUUUUGAUUAAUAAAUUCGGAUAACAAGAAUAUUUUCGGAUAGAUGAGUAUUCUUUUAGAAUUUUUCAUCAAUAUGUUGUAUUUUUAAAAUAAUUUUCUUAAAAAUUGUUAUUUUUGGAA